rnacentral:lncRNA from 1 species
UGGAAUUGAACUUUGAUAUAUUGAUGAAUAUUGUGAAUACAAUCUCUAGUAUUUACUCAUUUGAUGUUUUCUCUCGAAUAGAAGUUAAAAACUUAGAACUUCUUAAUCUUCGAUAUUCAGAAUGUUGUUGUUGCAAGUCGAAUUGAACUUCGAUCUUCUCGAAUCCAAGGAAAGUUUAAUCUUCCAAGUCUUCAAUAUUGCAAAAGAUGUUGAUCUCGAGGUUGAUACAAACUUGCACGUCUAGAAAGCUUGUAGAAGUUUGAAUCUUCAAUUCUUUAGAGUUUCAGUACUUUAGAGCUUCAAUUCUUC